GCUAGAAUAGCUUAGUUUCUUAGAGCAUGUGGCUAUUAACCACAACAUUGGAGGUUGAAACCCUUUUUCUAGCA
rfam:Gossypium raimondii Chr09_contig_635, whole genome shotgun sequence.